rnacentral:rRNA from 1 species
UACGAAGGGGGCUAGCGUUGUUCGGAUUUACUGGGCGUAAAGCGCACGUAGGCGGAUCGUUAAGUCGGGGGUGAAAUCCUGGAGCUCAACUCCAGAACUGCCUUCGAUACUGGCGAUCUUGAGUCCGGAAGAGGUGAGUGGAACUCCUAGUGUAGAGGUGGAAUUCGUAGAUAUUAGGAAGAACACCAGUGGCGAAGGCGGCUCACUGGUCCGAGUACUGACGCUGAGGUGCGAAAGCGUGGGGAGCAAACAGG